UGCCAGACUCCUACGGGAGGCAGCAGUGGGGAAUAUUGCACAAUGGGGGAAACCCUGAUGCAGCGACGCCGCGUGAGUGAAGAAGUAUUUCGGUAUGUAAAGCUCUAUCAGCAGGGAAGAAAAUGACGGUACCUGACUAAGAAGCCCCGGCUAACUACGUGCCAGCAGCCGCGGUAAUACGUAGGGGGCAAGCGUUAUCCGGAUUUACUGGGUGUAAAGGGAGCGUAGACGGCUGUGCAAGCCAGAUGUGAAAGCCCGGGGCUCAACCCCGGGACUGCAUUUGGAACUGUGUGGCUGGAGUGUCGGAGAGGCAGGCGGAAUUCCUAGUGUAGUGGUGAAAUGCGUAGAUAUUAGGAGGAACACCAGUGGCGAAGGCGGCCUGCUGGACGAUGACUGACGUUGAGGCUCGAAAGCGUGGGGAGCAAACAGGAUUAGAUACCCCUGUA
rnacentral:rRNA from 1 species